rnacentral:rRNA from 1 species
GACGAACGCUGGCGGCGUGCUUAACACAUGCAAGUCGAACGAUGAAGGAGGAGCUUGCUCCUCUGGAUUAGUUGCGAACGGGUGAGUAACACGUGAGCAAUCUGCCCUUGACUCUGGGAUAAGGGCUGGAAACGGCGUCUAAUACCGGACACGACCCUCGGAGGCUUCUCCUGGGGGUGGAAAGAACUGCGGUCAAGGAUGAGCUAGCGGCCUAUUAGCUUGUUGGUGGGGUAAUGGCUAACCAAGGCGACGACGGGUAGCCGGCCUGAGAGGGUGACCGGCCACACUGGGACUGAGACACGGCCCAGACUCCUACGGGAGGCAGCAGUGGGGAAUAUUGGACAAUGGGCGCAAGCCUGAUCCAGCCAUGCCGCGUGUGUGAAGAAGGCCUUCGGGUUGUAAAGCACUUUCAGUAGGGAGGAAGCGUUGUGUGUUAAUAGUACACAGCGUUGACGUUACCUACAGAAGAAGCACCGGCUAACUC